UACGUAGGGUCCGAGCGUUGUCCGGAGUUACUGGGCGUAAAGCGCGCGCAGGCGGCGGUGCUGGCCCGGCGUGAAAGCCCCCGGCUCAACCGGGGAGAGUCGUCGGGGACCGCACCGCUUGAGGGCGGUAGGGGGCUGGUGGAAUGCCUGGUGUAGUGGUGAAAUGCGUAGAGAUCAGGCAGAACACCUGGGGCGAAGGCGGCCAGCUGGGCCGUCCCUGACGCUGAGGCGCGAAGGCGUGGGGAGCGAACAGG
rnacentral:rRNA from 1 species